rnacentral:lncRNA from 1 species
UACCAUGAUUAGUUCUCACGUAUAUCAGCAAUUCUCUUUACUCUCUUUUGUUUUUUGUUUUUUUUUUGUUUUUGCUUGCAAAAAACUAAAUAAAAAGAAAUUAUGGCAGGUCUAUCAUCAGGAACUGAAGCAGUGCUUUGGCAUGCAUUUAAGGACUGGAUUUUGGGGAUUGACAGGCCCUGCGUAGUGCAGGCGGAGUGCGAUGUAUUGUGGUGUCCGUUUCUGAAAGCUCCACGCUGCGAAAUGCCUCCGAUGCGUGAUCAUCCUGGAAGGUGCAAAUGUGGACCGUGGCAUUGAUUUACCAGAAUUUGUUUGUUCUUGAAGGUGUAUGAAUAAACAAAACCCCAUGUAACUUUUCUCAAACAAAAGCGUUGAAAGAUCAAUGAUUUUCAAAUGCUGCUCUUCAUGUUCACGGUUGUGCCAAAAAUAACAAUGAAAUAAGCCUUCAAGCUACCAACUAUUUUUCAAUGAGAUAGCCUAACAUACAUACAUACAUAUAUGUGUGUGUGGUCUUACUUAUUGCAUUUCCCCUUUAAAAUGUUUUCAAUGUUUGAAAUUGAUCAUCUAAUUUUUAAGCAGUAUUGCAG